AGCAGCCGCGGUAAUUCCAGCUCCAAUAGCGUAUAUUAAAGUUGUUGCAGUUAAAAAGCUCGUAGUUGAAUUUCGGGGUUAGUAGGUUGGUCAUGCCUCUGGUAUGUACUGGUCUCACUGAUUCCUCCUUCCUGAUGAGCCGUAAUGCCAUUAAUUUGGUGUUGCGGGGAAUUUGGACUGUUACUUUGAAAAAUUGAGUGUUUAAAGCAAGCUAACGCUUGAAUACAUUAGCAUGGAAUAAUGAAAUAGGACGUUCGAUCCUAUUUUGUUGGUUUCUAGGAUUGACGUAAUGAUUAAUAGGGAUAGUUGGGGGCAUUAGUAUUCAAUUGUCAGAGGUGAAAUUCUUGGAUUUAUUGAAGACUAACUACUGCGAAAGCAUUUGCCAAGGAUGUUUUCAUUAAUCAAGAACGAAAGUUAGGGGAUCGAAGACGAUCAGAUACCGUCGUAGUCUUAACCAUAAACUAUGCCGACUAGGGAUCGGGUGAUGUUAAUUUUUUAAUGACUCAUUCGGCGCCUUAAC
rnacentral:misc_RNA from 1 species